UUCGCCCUUAGAGUUUGAUCCUGGCUCAGAGCGAACGCUAGUGGUGGGCUUAAUACAUGCAAGUCGAACGAAACUCUUCGGAGUUUAGUGGCGGACGGGUGAGUAACACGUAGGUAACCUACCUUUUGGUUGUGGUAUAACUCAGGGAAACUUGAGCUAAUCCCCCUAUUGAUCUUCGGAUUGAAAGUCCUUCGGGGCGCCAAGAGAUGGGCCUGCGGCCUAUUAGCUUGUUGGUAAGGUAAUGGCUUACCAAAGGCUACGAUAGGUAGCUGGUCUGAGAGGAUGAUCAGCCACACUGGAACUGAGACACGGUCCAGACUCCUGCGGGAGGCAGCAGUAGGGAAUAUUGGACAAUGGGCGAAAGCCUGAUCCAGCCACACCACGUGAGUGAUUGAAGGCCUUAGGGUUGUAAAACUCUGUCCUGGGGGAAGAUAAUGACAGUACCCCAGAAGAAAGCACCGGCUAACUCCGUGCCAGCAGCCGCGGUAAUACGGAGGGUGCAAGCGUUGCUCGGAAUCACUGGGCGUAAAGGGAGCGCAGGCGGUCUAUUAAGUCAGGUGUGAAAGCCCAGAGCUCAACUCUGGAACUGCAUCUGAAACUGAUAAACUAGAGGAUGAAAGAGGAAAGUAGAAUUCCUGGUGUAGAGGUGAAAUUCGUUGAUAUCAGGAGGAAUACCCGCGGCGAAGGCGGCUUUCUGGUUCAUUUCUGACGCUGAGGCUCGAAAGUGUGGGGAGCAAACAGGAUUAGAUACCCUGGUAGUCCACACCGUAAACGAUGAAUGCUAGGCGUCCGGUUCGUUUAUCGGCUGGGUGCCGCAGCUAACGCAUUAAGCAUUCCGCCUGGGGAGUACGGUCGCAAGAUUAAAACUCAAAGGAAUUGACGGGGGCCCGCACAAGCGGUGGAGUAUGUGGUUUAAUUCGACGCAACGCGCAGAACCUUACCCAGUCUUAACAUCCCGUGAAGCAAGCAGAGAUGCUAGCGUGCUGCCGCAAGGUAGAAUACGGUGAUAGGUGCUGCAUGGCUGUCGUCAGCUCGKKYCGYSCAGWUGKKCGGUUAAGUCCGGUAACGAGCGCAACCCCUAUCCUUAGUUGCCAAUUAUGGAACUCUAAGGAGACUGCCGGUGUCAAACCGGAGGAAGGUGGGGACGACGUCAAGUCCUCAUGGCCCUUACGACUGGGGCUACACACGUACUACAAUGGUAACUACAAUGGGACGCAAUAUCGCGAGAUGGAGCAAAUCCCCAAAAGUUGCCUCAGUUCAGAUUGUAGUCUGCAACUCGACUACAUGAAGUUGGAAUCGCUAGUAAUCGUGGAACAGCAUGCCACGGUGAAUACGUUCCCGGGCCUUGUACACACCGCCCGUCACACCACGAAAGUUGAACUUACCCGAAAUCGUUAGCCUAAGCCCGCAAGGGAAGGAUGCGCCUACGGUAGAUUCGAUGAUUGGGGUGAAGUCGUAACAAGGUAACC
rnacentral:rRNA from 1 species